GCUGGUUCCCGGAAGUUGUUUUUAAAUGUAUCGCGUCCAUUAUUUUUCUUCAAUGUGACACUGUUUUGUGAAGGUGGUUGUCUUGAAACAUGUUUCUAACAGCGGUAAAUUUGGCCAGGGGCAAAUCCAAGACGAUCCUGGUUCAGAUGGUGAGUGCUGCCGGGACGGGCUACUGCUUCAACACCAAGAGGAACCGGCUCCGCGAGAAACUGGUGCUGCGCAAGCACGACCCGAAAGGUGAGGGAGCGGGAGCCGGGAUCCGUGGAUGUGCUCUCGCGCUCUCCGGCUGGCGCCGCAGGAGGAGUCCGUUCCUUCUGCUUGUGCCAGAAAGGCCGCGAGUGUUGAUUGUGAAUACAGGAGCCCUGCACGUGCUCUCAUCAUCCCUGUCUGCCCAAAACACAAUUAAGCAGCAGCCCCUUUCUGUCAUCUAUAACUAAACAUGCAUUAGUUAUUGGCCUCCAGCUCCCCUCAAUCUGCAUCCACGCAGUCAGCUUUCUCUGGCUGAGAGCACAACGGAAUCAGGGGACCCCGAGGCCUGUCGGAGCUCCUGCAGGAGCUAGCGGCAAAUGUGUGCCGCAGGGCUGUUGCGCUUGUAGGCUUCAGGCCGGCGGACCUGUUUGUCCUUGGCAGUUGGGCCUCGUUUGGUUCUGGCUGUAACUAGUUUUAGCUGCUCAGCUGACUUUGUGAUUUCCUGCGCCAGCUGGACAUUAGAAGAUGCAAUCUGUGACUGGUAUGUAUGCCCUUCUGCAUUCUGUGGUUAAGUAUAUUUUCUAUACUUAUUAUAAAAAGGCCUUUGAGAAAGAUUGAAAUGACAGUGCAUCAGCAGGAGAAGAUGCAUGUUUGUGUGCUGCUGUUAUUCUCUCUGAAAAAAGGCCUUUUUCAUCCAAAAUAAAUGCAUUUUGAAACUGCGUUGAACUGCGCUGUGGCUUCAUACAGCAGCAGAGGGGAUCUGCGGAGCAACAGAGAGCCGAGUGAAUAAUUGAAGCCCAAGUCAUGUGGGGGACAUUCCUUAUGAAAUCAGUCACCUGCUGACCUGAUUUAAAUGAAAAUGUCCGGAAACGUUUGAUCAGCUGUUCAGGUGACGGAGAAUCUCAAAGAUGAUCCAUUUUGAACCCCCCCUACUCUAGUAUAAGCUAUAUCCUCGCUGAUAGACACA
rnacentral:lncRNA from 1 species